rnacentral:rRNA from 1 species
AACGAACGCUGGCGGCAUGCCUAACACAUGCAAGUCGAACGAGACCUUCGGGUCUAUUGGCGCACGUGUGCUUAACGCGUGGGAACCUGCCCUUAGGUUCGGAAUAACUCCCCGAAGGGGGUGCUAAUACCGGAUAAUGUCUUCGGACCAAAGAUUUAUCGCCUUUGGAUGGGCCCGCGUUGGAUUAGCGGGUUGGUAGGGUAAAAGCCUACCAAGGCGACGAUCCAUAGCUGGUCUGUGAGGAUGAUCAGCCACACUGGGACUGAGACACGGCCCAGACUCCUACGGGAGGGAGCAGUGGGGAAUAUUGGACAAGGGGCGAAAGCCCGACAAAGCCAUGCCGCGUAAGUGAUGAAGGCCUUAGGGUUGUAAAGCUCUUUUACCCGGGAUGAUAAUGACAGUACCGGGAGAAUAAGCACCGGCUAACUACGUG